AAAACAUCGAUGUAACAUCGAUAGUAUCGAUGUUACUCAAAAAUGUUCAGCAUCGAUGUUUUUUCUGCAAACAUCGAUUAUCGUCACUUACAACCGAAAGACAGAACUCGUUAUAAGAUAACAUUUUUUGUGGUGUUGGCGUGGAUCGUAGUAGCGCCAUGGACAAGUUUGUAAAAAUAACGGCAACUGCAUUGGACGACGUUGGAAAUAACGAAGAAGACAUCAUAUCUAGUCCCAAGCGACCCAAAAAGGACCUCGCUAAAACCUAAAAUCAACAAAAACAGCUUCCUAUCAGAUCUCAAUUAAAAAUUUAAGCCGCAAACAAAUUUUUGUAUUUUUUAUGUCGAUAAUCGAUUAUAAUCGAUGUCUUCGCCCUAAAACAUCGAAAACAUCGAUGGUGGCAAACAUCGAUGUUUUUCCA